rnacentral:rRNA from 1 species
UACGUAGGGUGCAAGCGUUGUCCGGAAUUAUUGGGCGUAAAGAGCUCGUAGGCGGUCUGUUGCGUCGGCUGUGAAAACCCGGGGCUCAACCCCGGGCCUGCAGCCGAUACGGGCAGACUAGAGUUCGGCAGGGGAGACUGGAAUUCCUGGUGUAGCGGUGAAAUGCGCAGAUAUCAGGAGGAACACCGGUGGCGAAGGCGGCAUCCUGGACCGGCAUUGACGCUGAGGCGCGAAAGCCAGGGGAGCAAACGGG